rnacentral:tRNA from 1 species
GUGGACGUGCCGGAGUGGUUAUCGGGCAUGACUCGAAAUCAUGUGGGCUUUGCCCGCGCAGGUUUCAAAUCCUGCCGUCUACG